AAGAUGUUUAGGGCCCGUUCCACUUAAUGACCGCAACGCUCACGGUAUCAUUUCAUCUUUGUUGUUCACCGAAAGUUAAACAAAGACAGAUGAUGCUCGCGAGCGUUGCGUUAAAUGGAACGCGCCUUUAGUGAGAUAUCAGUAGAGUCUAGUGACUCCUUCAGAUGGCACUGGCAUCGCGGUAACGCGUGAUCGCCGAUCUUAUAUGAGAAUCUUGAUUCGAUUCAAGGGGUAUAUUAUAUAUUAGUCGUUGGCGGGAAAGCGGAUAGCGGAUGUAUAAGGAGUAAGAGUAAGCAGUCGUCGUUGAUCGUCGUUGUGCCUUUGUAGAAUAGCGAUAGGACUUCUACAGUCAUAUUUGAAAUUGGUUCAUGUGUAUGUACAUAGCGUACAUAAAGUGACCGUGGCGUGUUCUUUUGACAGAGGCAAUAGUGGCAUGCUGCAAAAUAUAGCGAUAGGACUUCUACAGUCAUAUUUGAAAUUGGUUCAUGUGUAUGUACAUAGCUUACAUAAAGUGACCGUGG